rnacentral:rRNA from 1 species
CCUACGGGUGGCAGCAGUGGGGAAUAUUGCACAAUGGGGGACACCCUGAUGCAGCGACGCCGCGUGCGUGAAGAAGUAUUUCGGUAUGUACAGCUCUAUCAGCAGGGAAGAAAAUGCCGGUACCUGAUUACGAAGCCCCGGCUAACUACGUGCAAGCAGCCGCGGUAAUACGUAGGGGGCAAGCGUUAUCCGGAUUUACUUGGUGUAAGGGGAGCGUAGACGGCAGAAAAAGUCUGGAGUUAAAUGCCGGGGCUUAACCCCGGAACUGCAUUGGAAACUGUGCAGCUAGAGUGCAGGAGAGGUAGGCGGAAUUCAGAGAGUAGCGGUGAAAUGCGUAGAUAGUAGGAGGAACACCAAUUGCGAAGGCGGCGUACUGGAGUGUAACUGACGUUGGAGCUCGAAAGCGUGGGGAGCAAACAGGAUUAGAUACCCCAGUAGUC